UACGAAGGGGGCUAGCGUUGCUCGGAAUCACUGGGCGUAAAGCGCACGUAGGCGGGUCGUUAAGUCGGGGGUGAAAUCCUGGAGCUCAACUCCAGAACUGCCUUUGAUACUGGCGAUCUUGAGUCCGGAAGAGGUGAGUGGAACUCCUAGUGUAGAGGUGGAAUUCGUAGAUAUUAGGAAGAACACCAGUGGCGAAGGCGGCUCACUGGUCCGGUACUGACGCUGAGGUGCGAAAGCGUGGGGAGCAAACAGG
rnacentral:rRNA from 1 species